AUUCAUUUGGAUUAUUGUUGCGUCAUCAGGCGAGCGCCUGACAGGGAUUUAAGAUAUCUGGAAUCUAACCUCCGCUGGCUGUCUUUAUUGUGGGGCUACAUUUUGACUAUGGUUUAAAGGAUAUUACGAAGAUGAAUUAUUAUGAAAACAAAAUGAAAUUAUCAGUCUCUCCAGAGAUGUUUGCUCUGUAAAUACAAAAAACAAAACAAAACAACACAACCCUGACUCUCAUGAACUCUGUGGUCUUCAUAGCUGUGCCUGGAGGAAAAACCAUGUUGUUGGGAUUGACCUCACCCAACAUCCAAGGUUGGAUCCCGAUUGGUUUCAAAC